rnacentral:rRNA from 1 species
GAUUGUAGUCUGCAACUCGACUACAUGAGGCUGGAAUCGCUAGUAAUCGCAGAUCAGAAUGCUGCGGUGAAUACGUUCCCGGGUCUUGUACACACCGCCCGUCACACCAUGGGAGUCGGAAAUGCCCGAAGCCGGUGACCAAACCAAUAAGGAAGGAGCCGUCGAAGGCAGGUCUGAUAACUGGGGUGAAGUCGUAACAAGGUAGC